ACACCGGCAGCCCAAGUGGUGGCCAUUUUUAUUGGGCCUAAAGCGUUCGUAGCCGGCCUGAUAAGUCUCUGGUGAAAUCCCGCAGCUUAACUGUGGGAAUUGCUGGAGAUACUAUCAGGCUUGAGGUCGGGAGAGGUUAGAGGUACUCCCAGGGUAGGGGUGAAAUCCUAUAAUCCUGGGAGGACCACCUGUGGCGAAGGCGUCUAACUGGAACGAACCUGACGGUGAGUAACGAAAGCCAGGGGCGCGAACCGGAUUAGAAACCCGGGUAGUCCUGGCCGUAAACGAUGUGGACUUGGUGUUGGGAUGGCCUCGAGCUGCCCCAGUGCCGAAGGGAAGCUGUUAAGUCCACCGCCUGGGAAGUACGGUCGCAAGACUGAAA
rnacentral:rRNA from 1 species